UGGGAGGGCUUACCAUGCAAGUCGAACGGUAUCAGGCUUCCUGGUGCUGAGACCGGUGCCGGGUGCGUAACGCGUAUGCAAUCUGCCUUUCUCAGAGGGAUAGACCAGACAAAUUAGGAUUAAUACCUCAUAGCAUUACAACUCGGCAUGGAUAUGUCAUUAAAGUCACAACGGUGAAAGAUGAGCAUGCGUCCCAUUAGCUAGUUGGUGAGGUAACGGCUUACCAAGGCGACGAUGGGUAAGGGUCCUGAGAGGGAGAUCCCCCACCCUGGUACUGAGACACGGACCAGACUCCUACGGGAGGGAGCAGUGAGGAAUAUUGGUCAAUGGGCGCAAGCCUGAACCAGCCAUGCCUCGUGCAGGAUGACGGUCCUAUGGAUUGUAGACUGCUUUUGUACAGUAAGAAACACUCCGACUUGUCGGAGCUUGACGGUACCGUAAGAAUGAGGAUCGGCUAACUCCGUGCCAGCAGCCGCGGUAAUACGGAGGAUCCAUCCGAUAUCCGGAAUCAUUGGGUGUGAAGGGUCCGUGGGCGGGCUUGUAAGUCAGUGAUGAAUGACCAUCGCUCAACGGUGGAACGGCCAUUGUUACUGCCUGACUUGCAUUAAUGUGAAGUAGCUAGAAUAUGUAGUGCGCGGUGAAAUGCUUGCAGAUUACAUGUGAAUACCAAUUGCGUGCGCAGGUUACUACCAAUGGAUUGACGCUGAUGGACGAACGAGAGCGUGGCGAACAGGAUUAGAUACACUGGCUGUCCACCCCCUCAACUAACGAUACUAGCUGUUGGGUGCGACUUCACUGUCUAAGCAUAAGUGAUAAGUAUCCCAGCUGGGGGAGCACGAACGCACGUUUGAAACUCAAAUGAAUUGACGGGGGCCCGCACAAGCGGAGGAGCAUGUGGCUUUAGUUGAUGAUUCGCGAGGACCUUACCAUUGCUUACAUGUGGACUGACCAAUUGGAUACAGAACUUUCGCAGACCGUUUACAAGGAGCUGCAUGGUUGUCGUCCACUCGUGCCGUCAGGCGUCACGAGAAGUCCUAUAACGAGCGGCAACCCCUGAUGGUAAUUGCCAGUCGAGACACGUCGAGGUACUCUAACAUGAACUGCCAGUGCAUACCUGGUGCAGAAAGGUGGGAGGGAGUACUGACAGAUUCAUCAACGGGCCU
rnacentral:rRNA from 1 species